rnacentral:tRNA from 1 species
GAUUAUGUAGUUUAUUUAAAAUGUAGGUUUUGUAAACCUAAGAUGAUGUUUGGACAUUCUUAAUCA